AUACGGAGGGUGCAAGCGUUAUUCGGAAUCACUGGGCGUAAAGGACGCGUAGGCGGGUUGGCAAGUCAGAUGUGAAAUCCUACAGCUUAACUGUAGAACUGCAUUUGAAACUGCUAACCUAGAGUAUGGGAGAGGGAGAUGGAAUUAGUGGUGUAGGGGUAAAAUCCGUAGAUAUCACUAGGAAUACCGAAAGCGAAGGCGAUCUCCUGGAACAUAACUGACGCUAAGGCGUGAAAGCGUGGGGAGCAAACAGGAUUAGAUACCCUAGUAGUCC
rnacentral:rRNA from 1 species